rnacentral:lncRNA from 1 species
AUGCUAGUUAUAUUAAUCAUGUUAUUGUUAAAAUGGACCUUUUUUCUCCUUGUGUUCUUAGUAGCUUCACGGAUCCUUCAUACUCCACAAUUCACUCACCUGGAUGCUGUUCAACCCUGGAACUCUGACUGUUGGUUCAUGCUCAGAGACUCAUCACUCUUCACCUGCCUGCCCCCCUGCUACUGCAGUCCUAGAUCACUGGAUCAUUCAGGUUGGACUCUGCUCACUCUCAUCCCGUCUGGACAAUUACCCGGACAACACUGCCUCCCCCCUAGGCACUCUCUACCUACUAGCAAAAGACCCUCGUUCAAGUCUCAUGUGCCACGAACUAUUUCCUGACCAUUGUUCCAGUUUCACGCUCCAUGCAUUAUUCCUUUGAUUGUUGCCUUCUUUUGUUUUUGUAAAUAAAGUCUCAUUAACCCUGAUCCCUACUGUCCUGUCUGAAUCUGCAUUUGGGUUCAUAUUCACGUACUGGCCUUGGCCCGCCUUGGCACAUGGACAAAAUCAUAUUCUUCAUUGAACUGUUUGAACUUAUCUAAAACAAGGUAUUAUCACACACCAGCACAUCUGGAAUACCAGAGAGCAGCGGUCCCCAACCUUUUUUGCGCCACGGGCCGGUUUAUGUCCGUCAACAUUGUCACCGACCGGCUUUUAAGGUGUCAUGGAUAAAUACAACAAAAUAAAACCAGUACUGGUACCCCUCAAAAAAGAAGAUUUAUUCAUAACACACAGAAAAAGACCCAGGGAAACUGAGUUAAUGAUAAAAACGAUUUAAAAAAUAGCGAUAAAAAUCGAUAUAACCCCUGAAAACAAUAAAUUUCACACCCGAGCCUCAACUCUCGUGGCCCGGUACCAAACAACUCACGAACCGGUACCGGUCCGUGGCCGGGGUUAGGGACCGGCGUUAUUUUUGUGCCUCUAUUCUGAGGGCAUGUAAAAAAAAAAAAUAAAAAAAAUUUGCAAGUGUAAAUGUUGCAUUUUUAUGAGAAAAUUAUUUUAAGCGAUGAAAAGUUCAAGUUGAGUGAAUCUCCUCAAAAUCUACUCAAAUUGCAACAUUUGCACUUGCAAAUUGUAUUUACGUGUUUAGAAUAGGGACACAAAGGCCUGUUCUAAAAAUACCUCACCAUAGCGCCACUUACCAGUUGCAUCUAAUUAAUUUUUUUAUUUUAUUUUUUUGUAUUCUUUUUUAAACCACACUUCCAUUGG